UUUUAAUGCUCUGUGCCAUUAACCACCAGGUUAAUGAUUAAACCUCAUCUCUUUUCCUUUUGCAACACUGUUGUAUUUUACUAUUAUUUUCUGUUUUUAGAUUUUAUAAUGUCUCUGGUGUAGGUGUCAUAGGGAUCACUUUCUGCCACAGAAGAGUCAAAAUGCCCCUUUUAGAUUGGUCAGAGUUCUGCCUUCGUGUGAUUGGUUAUACCGAUUGACAGCGUUAGGGUAAGUCAAUCCAGAUAAUGGAAAUAUAUCCUGCGUAUGCUGAACAAGCUUCGUAGUGUAGAACAGAGCAUGAAGUAGAUGCAACGCUUUGGCAGCAACUCUUUUUAGUCUUAAGAAGGCUGCAGAUAAUGGCUGCUUGCAAAACAGGGUCUCAGGAUCUUUGACCAGCCACCUAUGUGCUGAUAUGAAUUUCACCCAAAAUGUCUUUUUUGGAAGAGUCCAACAGUUCCUCAAGGAUACUAAAACCAAGAUCCUGGAGUGGCCCGCACACAGCCCAGACCUCAGACCUCAAUCCUAUUGAGAAUCUGUGGCGAGUGCUCAAAGUGAAUCUCCAUGCUCGGAAACCGUGCAGUUUGGACCAGCUGGAACAAUUUGCAAUGGAGGAAUGGGCCAAAAUCCCUCAGGAGACCUGUGCCAACCUGGUAAAGACCUACUCUAAGAGAUUGUCAGUUGUGCCUCAGAAAGGGUGCAGUAUUGACUAUUAAUGGCCAUCAUUUUAAAUGUAGCAGCAAGGCCAUGUGAUUUGGACACACCGGCACGACUCCAGGGGGUUAAAGUACAUGACCAAGUCUUCAAACAGCUGAGACCUGAGUAACUCCUGCACAAGCUCUUCCUGCCUCGUGGUUAUUGAUUGUUUCACAGCAGCUCAUCAAGCUCAUCUCCACCCUCCCUGAAACAGGCCAGAAAGAAGUGACAUAUGUUCUGAUGCAAAUGAAGCAGGAGGUGAAGUCCAGUAAUACUUUGGUUAGCCACCUGACGGAGCCAGGUGUGCUGCUCUUGAUUAGCAUAACCUUCUUUUCUUCCUUCUGAAUGAAAAUUAGAAUGACAAAAAUUUUCAACAUAUUCCUGUAGUAUGUGCCCACCACAUCUUUUCCAAUCACUUCUCAGUAUAUUGGAUUUUUUUGUAGUGAAAUCUGUCCCUGAAGCUUUCUAUUCACUCUGUAGUCCCUUUGUUUUCUCUCUGAGAUAAACCUAUUUAAAACUGUUGCCUCUUGUCAGAAAAAGUUAGCGUGCAAUGGCCAAUGCUUGCCAGCAGCACCAUCCACCUCCCCUGUUUGUUUCUCAGUGACAAACACUGACAGCGAGCGUCUUCUUGUUUUAUUAGUGGCGGUGCAGAGGGAAUGGAGCAUCUAUGUCAGAGCCCCUGCUCAGGUGUCAAUCAGACACAUAAAGCACACACCUGCCUGCACCCAACCUCUUCUGAAGCAGCCUAAAUGAGAAAGGCAGAAAAGGAACAAAUCGAGUGUUUUAUACCAGCUACUGUGGUGCACCGUUUGUAGAUUUUUGUGUAUAGCCAUAAAAACCUGUUGCCUCUCAUUUAGCAGAAGGUCUUGUGGGACAGAAAUGGGGGUGACGGGAAACGAGUAUAUCUUAUGAAAUGUGACAGCUGUCUACAGGCAGAGACCUUUUGCCACAGUGGCUGACGCAGGGUUUACUUUGGAUUCAGAGCUCUGAUUUGUAUCUAUUGUGAAACAUUUACCAUAAAAAGCCGUUUACCUCACAGAGUGAAGUGCCUCUUAAAGGGAAAACAUUUCACCCAUUAAAUGGAGUCUUAUUUGUUUUCACCAGUCUUCUUUUCUAGAUAGUCUGCAGGUAUACAGUCACAACAUUUUUAAUAAUAUAACAUACAAAGAGCAGAGUGAUUGCUCUUUGAUAAGUUCUGUGAAAUCUGAAAUUCUAUAAAAAAGGAGAUUUCUUAUUAUAAUAAUUUACAACGAACACAAAUGAGUGAAAAAAAGAGAAACUGUCUAAAUAUCAUGGCAAAUAAACAGAAACAAAAAAUGCCAGUAGAUGGUAAGACCAGGCGACCAACCCGUGCAUCACCUGGAAUGCAGAACUCUACAAGAUCAACAUGAGCGUUCAUCAGGAAUUCGGUGGGGAUGUGGAGAACAAUGCUAAAGGCCUACUUCAAGCUGAAGUGCACAAGUAACCAUCUAGUGCAAGAUUUACCAAAGCGAUGCUCUGUCCCCACUGGUGAGCUGCAUAGGCCUCGACUGGCUAUGAUUACUGACUACAGAAUAGAGCAAAUGUCAGCCUCAACCUGUAAAUGGAGGACAUCAAGCUGUAUGACAGGAGUGAAU